CAGUGUGCUGCGAAUUCGCCCUUGUAAAGGCUCACCAAGGCUAUGACGGGUGUCCGGCCUGAGAGGGUGAACGGACACACUGGAACUGAGACACGGUCCAGACUCCUACG
rnacentral:rRNA from 1 species